rnacentral:misc_RNA from 1 species
CAAAAUCAUCAGUUGCAUCUUUCUCAGUAGCUGCAACCAACACUUCUUCCCCUCCAGGGUGUUCGUCCAGAAAAUGGGUUACAUCGUACACCUUCCCAUGGAUUAUAAGCCAACAAUCGUAUCUAUCCUUGUGCUUCACAACUUCAUCAAACUGAUAGAUUUUGGGUUUUGAAGCCAUCUGAUCUGAAAGAGCCCCAGAGACACAGAAGC